GGCGGCGUCCUGAACGAGUUUCAUCCCUAUCACUUUGUAGCGAGGGUAUUGUCCUCGCUAGAGUUUGACGGGUAACGGAGAUUUAGGGAUCGACUCCGGAGAGGGGGCCUGAGAAAUGGCCACCACAUCUAAGGAAGGCAGCAGGCGCGCAAAUUCCCCAAUCCAGACAUUGGGAGGGAGCGACAAGAAAUAGCAAUAGAGGGCCUUUCGGCUUUCUAAUUGAAAUGAGAACAAGUUAAAGCUCUUAUCGAGUAACAAUUGUAGGGCAAGUCUGGUGCCAGCAGCCGCGGUAAUUCCAGCUACAAUAGCGUAUAUUAAAGUUGUUGCAGUUAAAAAGCUCGUAGUUGAAUUUUGAUGAGUUCUUGAGAGAGUUCAAUUUUCCCUUAUGGUCGGCCGAAAGGCCAGCACUGUUUGGGAGAAGCUUAUCUUUUGGAGCGUUUGGGGCAACACACACUCCUUGUUUACUUUGAAUAAAAGAGACUGUUCAAAGAAGGCGUUCGCUUAUAUCUCUUAGCAUGGCAUAAUAAAAUAUGACUUUGGGUCUAUUUUGUUGGUUCCUGGACACGAAGUAAUGAUAAAUAGGAACGGUUGGGGCCCUUGAUACUACACAGCUAGAGGUGAAAUUCUUGGAUUUGUGUAUGAUCAACUUCUGCGAAGGCAUUGGGCAAGGACGUUUUCAUUAAUCAAGAACGAAAGAUAAGGGAUCGAAGAUGAUUAGAUACCGUCGUAGUCUUGUCAGUAAACUAUGCCGUCUGACAAUCGUGCGGUGUUAAUUUAAAACGACCCGCACGGCAGUCCGAGAGAAAUCAAAGAUUUUGGGUUCCGGGGGGAGUAUGGUCGCAAGACUGAAACUUAAAGGAAUUGACGGAAGGGCACCACCAGGAGUGGAGCUUGCGGCUUAAUUUGACCCAACACGGGGAAACUUACCAGGUCCAGACAUUUGAAGGAUUGACAGGUUGAUAGCCCUUUCUUGAUUAGAUGGGUGGUGGUGCAUGGCCGUUCUUAGUUGGUGGUGUGAACUGUCUGCUUGAUUGCGAUAACGAACGAGACCUCCACCAUUAAAUAGUUUCACCGAGAUCUCUGGGUGGAGCUUCUUAAUGGGACUGCAUGUUUCAAGCAUGAGGAAGUUGGAGGCAAUAACAGGUCUGUGAUGCCCUUAGAUGUUCUGGGCUGCACGCGCGCUACACUGCGUACAGCAACGAGUUUAGGUGAACGGGGCAACUCGCUCACUGCCUGGGCCGAUAGGCUUGGGAAAUCUUUUUAAAUGUACGCGUGAUUGGGCUAGGUGAUUGCAAUUAUUCGUCUUCAACGAGGAAUUCCUAGUAAGUGCGUUUCAUCAGAGCGCGCUGAUUACGUCCCUGCCCUUUGUACACACCGCCCGUCGCUCCUACCGAUUGGACGUUCCGGUGAGCUUUCGAGAGAUUGGGUUUUCUGGGCAACCAGGAUUCUCGAUCGAACUUACGCAAAUCAUAACGUCUAGAGGAAGGAGAAGUCGUAACAAGGUU
rnacentral:rRNA from 1 species